GUUGAUAAGGUUAAGUGAAUAAGGGCGCACGGUGGAUGCCUUGGCACUAGGAGCCGAUGAAGGACGGGACUAACACCGAUAUGCUUUGGGGAGCUGUAAGUAAGCUAUGAUCCAGAGAUUUCCGAAUGGGGGAACCCAAUAUCUUUUAUAGGAUAUUACUUUUCAGUGAAUACAUAGCUGAUUAGAGGUAGACGCAGAGAACUGAAACAUCUUAGUACCUGCAGGAAGAGAAAGAAAAUUCGAUUCCCUGAGUAGCGGCGAGCGAAACGGGAAGAGCCCAAACCAACAAGCUUGCUUGUUGGGGUUGUAGGACUCCGAUAUGGUAGUCUGUUAGUAUAGUUGAAGGAUUUGGAAAAUUCCGCUAAAGAGGGUGAAAGCCCCGUAGACGAAAUGCUGACAACACCUAGGAGGAUCCUGAGUACGGCGGAACACGAGAAAUUCCGUCGGAAUCCGCGGGGACCAUCCCGCAAGGCUAAAUACUCCCUAGUGACCGAUAGUGAACCAGUACCGUGAGGGAAAGGUGAAAAGCACCCCGGAAGGGGAGUGAAAUAGAUCCUGAAACCGUGUGCCUACAACAAGUCAAAGCUCGUUAAUG
rnacentral:rRNA from 1 species